UACGUAGGGUCCGAGCGUUGUCCGGAAUUAUUGGGCGUAAAGAGCUCGUAGGCGGUUUGUCGCGUCUGCUGUGAAAACUCGGGGCUUAACCCCGGGCCUGCAGUGGGUACGGGCGGACUAGAGUGCGGUAGGGGAGACUGGAAUUCCUGGUGUAGCGGUGAAAUGCGCAGAUAUCAGGAGGAACACCGGUGGCGAAGGCGGGUCUCUGGGACGUAACUGACGCUGAGGAGCGAAAGCGUGGGGAGCGAACAGG
rnacentral:rRNA from 1 species